UAUAACAGAGAAGAGUUUGAUCCUGGCUCAGGAUGAACGCUAGCGAUAGGCUUAACACAUGCAAGUCGAGGGGCAGCAUGGUCUUAGCUUGCUAAGACUGAUGGCGACCGGCGCACGGGUGCGUAACGCGUAUGUAACUUGCCUGAUAGAAAGGGAUAACCCGGUGAAAGUCGGACUAAUACCUUAUGGUCUUGGGUUAUUGCAUGAUGAUUCAAGUAAAGAUUAAUUGCUAUCAGAUAGGCAUGCGUUCCAUUAGUUAGUUGGUGAGGUAACGGCUCACCAAGGCUACGAUGGAUAGGGGAACUGAGAGGUUUAUCCCCCACACUGGUACUGAGACACGGACCAGACUCCUACGGGAGGCAGCAGUGAGGAAUAUUGGUCAAUGGGCGAGAGCCUGAACCAGCCACGUCGCGUGAAGGAAGACGGUUCUAUGGAUUGUAAACUUCUUUUAUAGGGGAUUAAAGUUAUCCACGCGUGGAUAUUUGCAAGUACCCUAUGAAUAAGCAUCGGCUAACUCCGUGCCAGCAGCCGCGGUAAUACGGAGGAUGCGAGCGUUAUCCGGAUUUAUUGGGUUUAAAGGGUGCGUAGGUGGCCUGAUAAGUCGGGGGUGAAAAGCUGUGGCUCAACCACAGUCUUGCCUUCGAAACUGUUUGGCUUGAGUAUAGAUGAAGUAGGCGGAAUUUGUGGUGUAGCGGUGAAAUGCAUAGAUAUCACGAGGAACUCCGAUUGCGAAGGCAGCUUACUAAGUUAUGACUGACACUGAAGCACGAAAGCGUGGGUAUCAAACAGGAUUAGAUACCCUGGUAGUCCACGCAGUAAACGAUGAUAACUGGGCGUAUGCGAUAUACAGUAUGCUCCUGAGCGAAAGCGUUAAGUUAUCCACCUGGGGAGUACGCCGGCAACGGUGAAACUCAAAGGAAUUGACGGGGGCCCGCACAAGCGGAGGAACAUGUGGUUUAAUUCGAUGAUACGCGAGGAACCUUACCCGGGAUUGAAAUUUAGCGGACUAUGUAUGAAAGUACAUAUCCUGUCACAAGGCCGCUAAGUAGGUGCUGCAUGGUUGUCGUCAGCUCGUGCCGUGAGGUGUCGGCUUAAGUGCCAUAACGAGCGCAACCCACGUUGUCAGUUACUAUCGGGUAAAGCCGAGGACUCUGACAAGACUGCCGUCGUAAGGCGCGAGGAAGGUGUGGAUGACGUCAAAUCAGCACGGCCCUUACAUCCGGGGCGACACACGUGUUACAAUGGUGGGGACAAAGGGCAGCUACUUGGUGACAAGAUGCGAAUCUCCAAACCCCAUCCCAGUUCGGAUCGUAGUCUGCAACUCGACUAUGUGAAGCUGGAUUCGCUAGUAAUCGCGCAUCAGCCAUGGCGCGGUGAAUACGUUCCCGGGCCUUGUACACACCGCCCGUCAAGCCAUGGGAGUCGGGAGUACCUAAAGCACGUAACCGCGAGGGGCGUGUUAGGGUAAUACCGGUGACUGGGGCUAAGUCGUAACAAGGUAGCCGUACCGGAAGGUGCGGCUGGAACACCUCCUUUCUGGAGC
rnacentral:rRNA from 1 species